rnacentral:lncRNA from 1 species
UUUUUUUUUUUUUUUUUUUUUUUUAACCUGGCACGACGGAUAGGCUUGCAAGUCAUAAAGGAAACGCUCCCUUUUGGCUUUGUAGAAUACAACAUCCUCUCAAUUGGAGCCCCAGGCAGAAAUGAGGCUAGCAAAAGAGUUUCUCAGUUAAUUUACUGAGAAGGGUGAUAAACCUAUAAUCUGUGGUUAGGAAUCUUCAACAGACCUCUGAACUGAACCCCUACUUCCUAAUUUUCUAACCUGUGCCUUAACUGGAGAUUUGGUGUCCUCUUUCCAAAAUACAUAGUAAACAAGCUCAGAGGGAAAUUCUAGUUAAUAUAUCUUUGCAAAUAUGAGAUGUAUGAAUUGGCUAGCAGGCCAGAGCAGACACUUCAUUUGGCCACUGUAGCUGCUGGGAUGCAUUGGUUUGGAUGUGCAGAAUGGAGCUGUGUCCAGUUUGUUUAGCAGCACUGAUACUGUCACUCAGGAACAGAAACCAGGAUCAUGGUCACAUCUGGCCCCAGCUGGAUUUUAUUGCAAUGACGUACAGAGCUGACGGAGAAAUUUCUGAAACUGGAAAUUACAACCCACAAGAAUUAGAGGAUUUUAAGCCCUGGUGAGAUGUAACAUUUCUUAAGAACAAUAGCUUAUAGCAUUUUUAUUCUGUACUGCUUUGGAUAAUUAAUUUAGUAAGUCAGUUUGUUUGUCAUUCAUGCAUAAAAUAAAUUAAUGUGCAUGUUGUCUCCUUAUUCAUUAAGUCUUUAAAUUCAGCAGAUGAAACUUUCUUUCUGCCAGGAAAAACACUGUGUUAUAGAUGACUGUCAAUAAAAAGUAAAGCCAGCUCAAAUGAAAAAUCGUGCUGAAAGCAAAUACCUGUUGAACGCUGAAUCUUUAUUUCCACUCUUUGUAGAAAUAAACACAUUUAUGGUUUGUUUAUUGCUUGCAGAAAGAAAGCCUGUUCAUCCUCCCCCGCUCCACCCCUGUCGUUUGCUGGUCUAGCUACCGAGCAGAGCCUAAUCACAAGAUGUCUGUGUACAUCAAACAGAUGUUCACCAGCAACAGAAAAUCAAUGUCUGGCAUGAAGUUAUAUUGUGUUUGUAGCCUCUACUGAGCACAAUUUACUUGAAAAGAAAUGCUUUGUGUCACUGUAUCUGUAUCUCAUAAUAAAGAACAAGUGCCCAUUUCAAGUUAUGGAUCACCUCUAUUGUCAUUCCACAGCAAUGUGUUUUACAGAUGUCUGCAAAUGAAUUUUAGCCUGAACUCCCUUUGCU